CUUAAUAAAGUUUAAUAUUUAAAAAAAUAAAAAAAAGGUUUUAGCUCAGAGUAGUGGCCAGCGCAAAAAGUAAUGUUUAAUGUUAAACACUCUGAAAUUCAGACAGACAUCACUAAAUGACGGUAUCUCACACUGGCUUUUUACAGCACUUCUGCCAUGGUAAAACUUAUUAGCUUAUUACCCGUUUUGUAACCAGUUUCAAUGUUAUCUUUGCAUGAAAACGUUAUGUUAACCUUGACAACAAACUGGGCCAAGCACGCGUUGUCAUGGAGACGCUUUCAUGGGUCGGUGUAGGAUAUGUGCGCCAAUUAUAUGACAGUGAUAUAAGUAACUUGCAUAUUGUCUAAUAUUGUUUUUUCACUUUUUCAAUAGUCACCGUUUAUCCGGUGCAGCACUGUUACUUUAAAGUAAUGUUUAAAGCUGACUUGACAGUUUGUCAGCUGGUGUAAGAUUGCCUAAUGUACUGUAAGUUAAUGUCACACGCAAAUUAAAGUUGUACUUCAUGCUCUGUAUUAUAAGAUUGCUACAUUUUCAGAGCUUUUUACAUAAUGGGGAAGGAGACAAUAUUAAAGGAAUGAUUGUGUGUUGUUGAUGUAUACUGUGUUACAGAUAGUAUUAAUUUUUCUAUAGUUAUUGCAUUUUUUUAUCAUAGUAACAAAAAAAUGUUUGAAUUCAAGCUUGCAUUUAUGUUACAUGUCAUGUAUGUUAUCAAUCAUAUACUUGAUAUAGUAGACAAGUGGUCAUAUGUAAGUUAAUAUGAUUCCUUACAUAUUUUUUUCAUGAUGUCUCUGGUUUUGGCUUGUUGAUGUAUUCAGCUCCUGCAUCUAUGGAUUCCUUCUGUGUGUUAGAUAUGGAUGUUUUAUCCCAUUGCAAAAGUGCUUUUGGCAAAAUUGACUAUGUCUCUUGUGUUUCAGGGGUGGAGUUCAUGCAGUGCCGAUUUUGCAAAUUCACAAGCUCCAGUCAAGAGACUCUUUUGAAACAUUUCCGCCUUCAUCACGGACAAGAUAUCUGAAGAAUUUCAUCGGAUCACAAGCAAAGACCUCCUGGGGACGUUCAAUGCAUCCCUGGACAAAUUUGUGCCUGGCCUGCUGAAACUAUACCGGUCUAAGAAGGGAGCUCUUGGUGAGGAGAUGGAAGACAUCUUGGAUAAACUUGAUGAACAGACAUCUGACAUUGUGUCCCACCGAAAGACAGCAGCACUGAGAGGCCUGCCCAUUUUCCUCGGAGAGGAUGCAACACAGGUUUUCCUGAAGUGCUUAGACACUGACAUUUUGGAACCAGUGUUGAACGGUGCAUCAGUUGCCAUCCUCACCAUCCUGCAAGAUGACGAUGCCGAUACGUCUGUGCGAGAACAUGCUGUUGUGUUGGAAGGGGACAUCGUGCUACAUAACAUUCCAGACCUCUCUACUGCCUUGGCAUACCUCUUUGGCCUUCUGUAUGCCCUCAACAUUGAUUAUCCAAAGCAGAUGAGUUUACCUUUGAAGCAAUUCAGGUCAUCUUUUUUGAACUCGGUGGCUCUCGAUGCUCACAGCGCAUAAGGUCUCUAAAAACAAAGCUUUUGCUGUGACUGUUAACGGGGAAGCCAGACAUGAGUUUAACUUGUUCUUAAACAUGUUUAAGUGCAUUGUAGAGUCAUGUAAAAAAACAAAACAAAACCCAGUAGUUCAACCCCUUUCCCUCUAUAUAAUCGUUCAUUUUACCUGAUAGUUCACUGUUCAUUGAUGGUAACAUUUCUAAUAACUUUUGACUUCUGUAGUUCAUCAUAGUGAGCCCAUGUAAAAUGUCAAUGUCUGGGUACAAAGGCAAUUGUUUGUUGCACUACCCUAUUUAGUGUGCAAUAGUUAAGUUAAGCUUUUACAGGACAGUCAGGGUGUGAAUGUGAAUGACUAAGCUGCUGGACACUUUUCUUUUUUUCUGGACUCUGGAAUUUUAAUGUCUCUGCUGGGGUGCUCAAAGCACCCUAAAGAAACUGGCAACACGUUUUUUUCUGUUUGUUUGCUUUUUUACAGAAAUUCACCCCACUGCCCAUGACCUUCUGAAAUAUACUGAAAGCACUGUUGAAAAAAAUAAAUACGUUUUUACAUAACA
ensembl:lncRNA